rnacentral:tRNA from 1 species
UGGGAAUAUAGUUUAAGGGAGAAUGUGGCUUUUGUAAAGCUGUGGUGCAUCUUGUGGCUGUUUCCAU